UACGUAGGGGGCAAGCGUUGUCCGGAUUUACUGGGCGUAAAGCGCGUGUAGGCGGCUACGCAGGUCCGUUGUGAAAACUGGAGGCUCAACCUCCAGACGUCGACGGAAACCGUGUGGCUAGAGUCCGGAAGAGGAGAGUGGAAUUCCUGGUGUAGCGGUGAAAUGCGCAGAUAUCAGGAGGAACACCGGUGGCGAAGGCGGGUCUCUGGGCAGUAACUGACGCUGAGGAGCGAAAGCGUGGGGAGCGAACAGG
rnacentral:rRNA from 1 species